rnacentral:lncRNA from 1 species
GAUUCGAUUGCAUUGGAAACAGCUCCCUGGUGGUUUUUUGGGAUUCACAAUGCUUCCUAGCAGACCCAAGCACACACUGAGCCACACGCCCUCAGCUCAGCUUUUGUAAAGGAUAUUUUAUCACAGAAACAAAAAAAGAAAACUGUUUCUUCCUCCUCUCCUGGGAACUCCAUGGAGGUGAAUAAGACUCCUGUUGGCUUCCUGUCCAGAGCAACAUGCAGUCCUGAAACUCCUCUUUUGGUUCAUCUUUCCAUCCAUACCUUCACCUUGUACCUUCCAGCCACAGAGGAUGGCACCAUCCUAUUGCCAUGGCUUCCCCACCAAUAAAAUCUCCCUGAAGCUGUGCUCCAAAA